rnacentral:rRNA from 1 species
AGAGUUUGAUCCUGGCUCAGGAUGAACGCUGGCGGCGUGCCUAAUACAUGCAAGUCGAGCGAACAGAUAAGGAGCUUGCUCCUUUGACGUUAGCGGCGGACGGGUGAGUAACACGUGGAUAACCUACCUAUAAGACUGGGAUAACUUCGGGAAACCGGAGCUAAUACCGGAUAUGAUUUUGAACCGCAUGGUUCAAUAGUGAAAGACGGCCUUGCUGUCACUUAUAGAUGGAUCCGCGCCGUAUUAGCUAGUUGGUAAGGUAACGGCUUACCAAGGCAACGAUACGUAGCCGACCUGAGAGGGUGAUCGGCCACACUGGAACUGAGACACGGUCCAGACUCCUACGGGAGGCAGCAGUAGGGAAUCUUCCGCAAUGGGCGAAAGCCUGACGGAGCAACGCCGCGUGAGUGAUGAAGGUCUUCGGAUCGUAAAANCUCUGUUAUNCAGGGAAGAANCAAANCGUGUAAGUAACCUGUGCACGUCUUGAGCGGUACCCUGAUCAGAAAGCCCGA